rnacentral:lncRNA from 1 species
CAUAGAACAGCUUGAAAAAGUAUAUGGAAGUUUGCAAGGACAUUGCAUGUUCACAGGGCAGUGAAAAUAGGCUGGGUUAUGAGGGAGUGGUCGCAGCAUCGUGUAUGCUAUAUUAAAGGUUUCGAUUUUCUUGUGUUUCAAUUGGUGAACCAACAACAACUUUCAAGUAGCUGAGUGACAACAUCAGCUUGGCAUUUUAGAACUUUUUCUUUGCUUUUAAUGUAAACUGUGACCUGAGGACUGGACGGACCACCGUGAAACAGACAGAACUUCAGUGUUAACCUGGCUAAGAGAUAGCCUCACUGCACACAGUUCACAACCUUUGAUUGUUACAUCUGGGUUACGGUUAGUCCUAAUGUGAAAUCACAGGGAAGUCUAAAACCACAUACAGUACCGUAUAGGCUUGUGAGACUAUGUUUGAGACCAAUAAAAAAAAACGCUUAAACAUACCACCAACUUGACUAUUUAAAGUUACUGUCAAGAGUGAAGAGUUUCUGACCAGGGAGGCAGAAAGUCCUAACACAGAUUAUAACCCUCACAAGCAGUGUGAGUUUGAUCCUACACCCAAACACUGAAGUCAGGGCUUCAGAUUUUAUAUAGUUUCUUAAACAUCAAACAAAAGCUAAACCUGCUUAUGUUACUUUUAUUGUCUUCUACAGAAGACUUCUAUUUAUAUAUAUUUUUAAUGUUGUGGUGACCAACAUCAGGAUCCUUCCGGGGCAGCUGGAGGGAUCUAAAGUUGCUGGGCAACGUCUCUGCUGUGCGUUUCCAGGCAGCACACUUCGCAUGUGGUCAGAGUUAAAGUUCGUCGUAGUCCAAGGAGUUUGCAUUGCUGUAGAAAGAAAAUCAGUGCUACCCUCCCACCAUGGGGUUUGGAUGGAAUACGAGGUGAAAUGAAGAGAGCUUCCUAUAAAUGAGCCACUGAGUUAUGAGCCACUGAGUUUUUUAAUCCAGCGUUCAGGCCCUGCUGAGGAAAAGUCAAGCCCUUUUGUCAUCAAGUAAGCAGCAUGCAACCGGAAGAGGGAAACCUCCUAAAUACAUAUGAAGUGCAUGGCCUUUUAAAAUAUUUUUUU